ACAAUUUAACGCUUCUGUUCCUCUUGGCACAUCUGAAUGGGUGGCAUCUGGUCCAAAUUUUGGGUCCCUUUGAGGAUGCGUGAUAGGUAACUCUCAUCUGGAUAGCAGAGACACUUGACCAGCCAAUUACGUAUUCUGGAAUCCAGGAAGUUUAUGUAGGGAGCUUAAACGGAAGAUGCGUCUGAGAAACUCCCAUCAAGAGCACAUCCCAGCUUUUCAACGAUUGUAUAAGCCAGCGUUUGUUAAGUGCUUCCUCUGUCCCAGGAACUCUUUCAAGUGUUUUACGUGUAGUAACUCUUUUCAUAUAUGACCAUCUUAUGAAAUGGGAUCCCAUGGUAACGACCAGAGGGUACAGGAGAGUGAAAUGUUGACACUGGAUUGGAAAGUUUGCUGAGUAAGGCCUGGUAUCAAAAGAAAGCCAGAAUCGGAAAACCUCCAUCAGCUCACUCAGUCUCCUCUUAGCGUUCAAUCCCCUGACUGCAGGAGAUGCACUAGACCCUUUCAAUGAAGUCAUGGAAUCUUUGACAGAUUUUUCCAACCACUCUGUCAUUUCCUUCAGCAACAAGAUGAUUCUCAAAGCUGGUGAGUCACACGCUGCCCCAAAGGUAACAAGCAGAGGUUGUGUGCGGUUGUGUGGGGAUCAGGAACAGGGCCAGACAUCAGUGGGGCCAAAUCCCAAGCCAAAAGGUUUUUACCUUCAGCCAGCUCUAAUAUUACCUUCAGGCAGCACGUGAAUAAUUAGGUAAUAUGCUCCCCUCUGUGGUCUCCGAAAACAGUAGAAGUACAGUGCUACCUCCACGAUAGAAGAGAUUACAUAACCUUCAGUAUUUAAAAACAGCUUAAAACCAAAACAUAAAAAAUGACAUAAUCGCUCCCAAUUCCUAUCCUGAUCACGGCUUUAAUCCUGUAGAAAUAGUUUGCUCUUCAUUCUCUAUUUUCUAUAACAGAAGCGCCAGAGUUCUGGGCUGACACCUAGCUCAAAAUAGAUACGGGGCAUGUCAAUUAACACAGAUGAAGAAAUGGAAGGAUCAACUAUUAAUCAAUUUCAAAAAAAAGAUCAUAUAUAGUUGUGAUGGGCUGAAUGUUUGUGUGCCUCCAAAUUUCAUAUGUUGAAGCCUUAACCUUCAGUGUGAUGGUGUUUGGAAGUGGGGCCUUUGGGAGUUAAUAAGGUUUAGAUGAGGUCACGAGGGUGGGGACCCUACAAUGGGAUUAGAGUCCUUAUAAGAACAUGAAGAAACCACAGCUCUCUCUCUCUCUCCACCAUGUGAGGAUACAGCUGGAAGGGGGUUGUCUGCAAGCCGGGAAGAGGGUUCUCACCAAACUUAACCGUACCGGCCCCCUGAUCCUUCCAGUCUCUAGAACUCUGAGAAAUAAAUGUCUGUUUUUUAAUCCACCCAGUCUACGGUAUUUUAGUAUAGCAGAUCAAGCAAAGACAAUAGUAUAAGUACAUAAUAUAUGCAUUCGUGUGUGUGUAUACACAUGUAUAUACAUAUGCCUAUGUAUAAAAUAAUCUGAUGGCUAAUUUCUAAUUUAAUACACUUUCUUCAUAAAUGGGAAGUCAGCUUACUAUUAUCUGGUAGCCACUAAAAAUAUUUCAGCACAUUAUUUCUUGGGACUACAUUUUUCUCUUCUUUUCUAACAAGAAGCAUUAGCAUUACAUUUAGCCAAUAGAAGGACUACGUCCAGAAUGUUCGGAUAUCUUCUAUGCACAUUUUUGUCACCAUUUGGUGAUGUCUCAGUACCUGCGUCUCCAGCAACGAAGACAACGUUGUUGGUGUUUCUUCAGCGGUGGUUCUCUAUUCAUCACUAGUAAGAGUGAAUUUGUUUAAAAUUUGUUUAAAACAUUGAAAAAGUGUAAUAUGUUAUUGUGGCUUAGGGAGUGAUGGGAAAAUAAAAUAUUUACGUACGUAUAAAAUAUUGAGGCAAUAUUUGAUUUCUUUGCUGACAAUAUCUUUUUACUCAUUUUCUGACUUGGAUUUCCUAUAUUAGUCUUGUACCUAUGCUCAGUGUGGUUUUUAAACACAUAAAAACAUAAUGAACAAUAUGACAUAAGAAAUGACAUUUAAUUGUCCUUAUUCAUACGAGGGGGCACAAAAUACGACAUACAUGCACAAUAAUUAAAUCAUAAGAAUAAUAAUGACAGACUCAGCAUAUACUUCACAACUAUGUCCCAACAUAUCACGAUUUAAUCCUAACAUUAUUCAUGCCAGUGUGUGUUAUUGUUUUCACUAUCAUUUUUUUCCUAAGGCUGAAAGAAGAUAGUCCUUGCAGCAAAUGUUAUUAUCUAUUCUAUAAUAUUUUUGAUAUAUUAAUGCUACUGGUAUCAACUUAACAUUAGCAUGUGCUAAUAAUAGGACGUGUUUGUGAAGCCACUUGGAGAUUUUUAGAAGUGACCUGAGGGAUCCAAAAGAAGAAACCAUCAACAACAGAUCACUGGUUCCUUUGUUCUCCCUUCCAAAGUUCAAAAGGAAACUUUAAAAAGUUUCUUUUCAAACUAAGAUGAUACUAUGAGAAACAAGUUUUAGAGGGUAUGUGCUUCAAAAGGAAAGAGAAAAUUUUAAAACUGACUCUGUUCUACCUCUAACCAGUCUUAAUAUUUAAAAUUUCAAUAGCAGUGUUAAUAAGGAAUGUAACUUCCAUUUGAGAUAAAUGUGAGUCUUGUCUAUAUGAAAGAGACUGGAGAAAGAGAAGCAAAUAAGUCGUAUGUUCCCAUUAUGUUCAGACUGACUGCUAUAAAACUAGCUGAUAGGAUCGUUCUUGUGUAUAAGCAGUGACCAUAAAAUAUUAACUUCAAAGUAUUUACCUACAUCUGCAAUUUUAAUAAUAUUAAGUGCAAAGUAUUUGUCUACACCUACAACUUUUGCAGUACUCAAUAUUUAAUGCCGUAAAUAUUCCAUAUGGUAGCAUUCUAUGGCAAAAUGAACGGGGCAUUGCAUUUAAACAGAUAUUCAAUAAUGUAUUAUUUCAUUUCCCUGUGGCUUUUACUUAUUUUCUUAUGUGGGUUGGGAAAUAGCUGGUUGAAAAAAAAAAUGCUUUGGUUUGCCUUUCUGAGUUUAUUUUCCACUUGAUAAUAACUAUUGCUAUGCAAAAAACAUCUCCAAACUUAGUGGUUGAUGGAUUGUGUGGAACAGCAAUUUAGAGAGGACACAUUGGGUUUGUCUCUGCUCCAUGAUAUCUAGGGCUUAGCCGGGAAGAGUUGAAGGUUGAGGGUGACUCGAUGGC